rnacentral:rRNA from 1 species
GAUGAACGCUGGCGGCGUGCCUAACACAUGCAAGUCGAACGGAGAUUACAGACGGAAGUUUUCGGAUGGAAGUGUGUAAUUCUUAGUGGCGGACGGGUGAGUAACGCGUGGGCAACCUGCCCUAUACAGGGGGAUAGCAGCUGGAAACGGCUGGUAAGACCGCAUAAGUCGUCUUGGUCGCAUGACCGGGACGGGAAAUGAGCAAUCAGGUAUAGGAUGGGCCCGCGUCCGAUUAGCCAGUUGGCAGGGUAAGAGCCUACCAAAGCAACGAUCGGUAGCCGGACUGAGAGGUCGGACGGCCACAUUGGAACUGAGACACGGCCCAAACUCCUACGGGAGGCAGCAGUGGGGGAUAUUGCACAAUGGAGGGAACUCUGAUGCAGCGACGCCGCGUGAGUGAAGAAGUAUUUCGGUAUGUAAAGCUCUAUCAGCAGGGAAG